rnacentral:rRNA from 1 species
ACGAACGCUGGCGGCGUGCUUAACACAUGCAAGUCGAACGGAAAGGCCCUGCUUUUGUGGGGUGCUCGAGUUGCGAACGGGUGAGUAACACGUUAGUAACCUGCCCUUGACUUUUGGAUAACUUCAGGAAACUUGGGCUAAUACCGGAUAGGAUCUCCUUCUGCAUGGUGGUGGUUGGAAAGUUUCGGCGGUUGGGGAUGGACUCGCGGCUUAUCAGCUUGUUUGUGGGGUAGUGGCUUACCAAGGCUUUGACGGGUAGCCGGCCUGAGAGGGUGACCGGCCACAUUGGGACUGAGAUACGGCCCAGACUCCUACGGGAGGCAGCAGUGGGGAAUAUUGCACAAUGGGCGGAAGCCUGAUGCAGCAACGCCGCGUGCGGGAUGACGGCCUUCGGGUUGUAAACCGCUUUCGCCUGUGACGAAGCGUGAGUGACGGUAAUGGGUAAAGAAGCACCGGCUAACUACGUG